rnacentral:rRNA from 1 species
GACGAACGCUGGCGGCGUGUUUAACACAUGCAAGUCGAACGGAAGGGCCCUGCUUUUGUGGGGUGCUCGAGUGGCGAACGGGUGAGUAACACGUGAGUAACCUGCCCUUGACUUUGGGAUAACUUCAGGAAACUGGGGCUAAUACCGGAUAGGAGCUCCUGCUGCAUGGUGGGGGUUGGAAAGUUUCGGCGGUUGGGGAUGGACUCGCGGCUUAUCAGCUUGUUGGUGGGGUAGUGGCUUACCAAGGCUUUGACGGGUAGCCGGCCUGAGAGGGUGACCGGCCACAUUGGGACUGAGAUACGGCCCAGACUCCUACGGGAGGCAGCAGUGGGGAAUAUUGCACAAUGGGCGGAAGCCUGAUGCAGCAACGCCGCGUGCGGGAUGACGGCCUUCGGGUUGUAAACCGCUUUCGCCUGUGACGAAGCGUGAGUGACGGUAAUGGGUAAAGAAGCACCGGCUAACUACGUG